UUAUAUAGGAUCACUUGAGUCUUGGUAGUCACUACGCAGAAAUAUUUUUCCAUAUUUCAACAUUUUGGUGACAAAAAUAGGAAGUCUGAAAUCUGCCUUUCACCAUGAUACUGCUACCAUCUGCACUGAAUCUGGAUGCAUGGAAAACAUCAAGUGCUGGACAGACUGGAUGACUGGACCGUGACAACCCAACUGGAACUGGAGACUGGGAGACUGUCAGUGACCUGAAGACGGAGUACCCCAACGCUAUGUGCCCCAAUGCCACUGCCAUCGAGGUGGCAACUGUGGAUGGCAUCAGCCUGAAUGAUGCAGGCAAUGUGUUUCAUGUGAAUGAUCACAUCACUGGGCUCAUCUGUAAUGAACGCAGAUCAGGAGAAAUGCUUCUGCCGGGACUACAAAGUCCGUUUCCUCUGCCACCCUCCAUACUGGGCUGACCUGCAAAACAUGUGCUGGACACCGUGGUUUGACCGUGACAAUCCCGGCGGUUACGGGGAUUGGGAGACGCUGACGGAACUGUGGAAAGAACACCCU